GGUAGCGUGGCCGAGAGGUCUAAGGCGCUGGUUUUAGGCACCAGUCAUUUCGAUGGCGUGGUUUCGAAUCCCACCGCUGCCA
rfam:Ciona savignyi cont_28730, whole genome shotgun sequence.